AUUGAACGCUGGCGGCAGGCCUAACACAUGCAAGUCGAACGAGUGGCGGACGGGUUAGUAAUGUCUGGGAAACGGCCUGAUGGAGGGGGAUAACUACUGGAAACGGUAGCUACAUCCGCAUACCAGCGGAUGUGCCCCGAUGGGAUUAGCUAGUAGGUGGGGUAACGGCUCACCUAGGCGACGAUCCGUAGCUGGUCUGAGAGGAUGACCAGUCACACUGGAACUGAGACACGGUCCAGACUCUGAAGGGAUGCAGCAGUGGGGAAUAUUGUACAAUGGGCGAAAGCCUGAUGCAGCCAUGCCGCGUGUAUGAAGAAUGCCUUCGGGUUGUAAAGUACUUUAAGCGGGGAGGCGUUACCAGCAGAAUAAGCACCGGCUAACUCCGUGCCAGCAGCCGCGGUAAUUC
rnacentral:rRNA from 1 species